AGUUAUCUGAACCUUCGGGGAACGAUAACGGCGUCGAGCGGCGGACGGGUGAGUAAUGCCUAGGAAAUUGCCCUGAUGUGGGGGAUAACCAUUGGAAACGAUGGCUAAUACCGCAUGAUGCCUACGGGCCAAAGAGGGGGACCUUCGGGCCUCUCGCGUCAGGAUAUGCCUAGGUGGGAUUAGCUAGUUGGUGAGGUAAGGGCUCACCAAGGCGACGAUCCCUAGCUGGUCUGAGAGGAUGAUCAGCCACACUGGAACUGAGACACGGUCCAGACUCCUACGGGAGGCAGCAGUGGGGAAUAUUGCACAAUGGGCGCAAGCCUGAUGCAGCCAUGCCGCGUGUGUGAAGAAGGCCUUCGGGUUGUAAAGCACUUUCAGUCGUGAGGAAGGUAGUGUAGUUAAUAGCUGCAUUAUUUGACGUUAGCGACAGAUGAAGCACCGGCUAACUCCGUGCCAGCAGCCGCGGUAAUACGGAGGGUGCGAGCGUUAAUCGGAAUUACUGGGCGUAAAGCGCAUGCAGGUGGUUUGUUAAGU
rnacentral:rRNA from 1 species